rnacentral:piRNA from 1 species
UGGUCUAUGAUCUCUACUUGUCUCCU